rnacentral:sRNA from 1 species
AUACGAUGCUGAGCGUAUAGGGUGAGAACCGUAAGGUUCGAUUCGAGCCGUUUUUUGGUGAGAAAACAUCGUAGCCUGCGAUGAUGGCCCGAAGAGCGCAGUAAUCCUAUACGACCCACCA